ACAUCACAUCUGACACGUGUGGAUGUAUCAAUGCCAUUCCUAAAGAUGGACAGUACUGCCAGUCGGUUCACAAACAAAACUUUACCGCAUGUCCAACAACAACAGCCUCUCCUACAACAGUUUCAACAGUACUACCAACGCUCUACGAAUACAUGAUUGAAAUUGAGCUGAACACCACAGACGUUACAGUGAUAGAUCAACUGAGAGCCAUUCUGAGAAAUGCUAGUUACCCUGUUAGAAUCAAUAAUCUGAU